rnacentral:rRNA from 1 species
UGGUAUCUUCACCGUGGAGUCAUUCUUACUAAAGAUAACCUUAUUAAGAGGAAUUGACAUGGAAAUACGCAACGUGUCUUUUGUCCGCAUGAUGAGACAAUAAAACAUUUGUUAUACCAAUAUAAAUUAGCUCGUUCUAUAUGGCCAGUCAUCCAAAUUAUUUCUGACUUGUAUCUUCCUUGUAGUGUUGCUAAUAUAUUUGGUAACUUAUUACAUGGAAUUGAUCACAUGUUUAGAAUUCUUCUCAGGGCGGGAGCGCUUGCCGUGAUUUGGUCGCUUUGGCUAUAUAGAAAUGAUCAUGUUUUAACAAUAAAAGUACUUCUUUUAUGCAUGUUACAUACAGAUGUAUCCGAACGCUUCGCUUAUGGUCCUCUCUACAACGAGUGA